GACGAACGCUGGCGGCGUGCUUAACACAUGCAAGUCGAACGAUGAAGCCGGAGCUUGCUCUGGUGAAUUAGUGGCGAACGGGUGAGUAACACGUGAGUAACCUGCCCUUGACUCUGGGAUAACUGCGGGAAACUGUAGCUAAUACCGGAUACGACCCUCGGAGGCAUCUCCAGGGGGUGGAAAGAAUUUCGGUCAAGGAUGGACUCGCGGCCUAUCAGCUAGUUGGUGAGGUAAUGGCUCACCAAGGCGACGACGGGUAGCCGGCCUGAGAGGGUGACCGGCCACACUGGGACUGAGACACGGCCCAGACUCCUACGGGAGGCAGCAGUGGGGAAUAUUGCACAAUGGGCGCAAGCCUGAUGCAGCAACGCCGCGUGAGGGAUGACGGCCUUCGGGUUGUAAACCUCUUUUAGUAGGGAAGAAGCGAAAGUGACGGUACCUGCAGAAAAAGCACCGGCUAACUACGUGCCAGCAGCCGCUGUAA
rnacentral:rRNA from 1 species